rnacentral:lncRNA from 1 species
AGUUUAGGGUUUAGGGUUUAAAGUUUAGGGUUUAGGGUUUAGACUUUAGGGUUUAGGGUUUAGAGCUGAGGAAUGAAUUUUGGGGAUAGAAUUUCAAAUUUUAAAAAAUAAAAAAAAUUAAAAUUUUCAAAAUAAAAAAUGUUUUUUUGGUUAUUUUAGUUUUUGAGGUCUAAUUUUAUGAUAAAAACUUAAAAAUGUCUAUCUGAGAGAAUUAACCUUAAGAAUAUUGUGUGAUCAAAGUUUUCAUUUUUUUUCAGGAUAUUGACAGGUUGAACAUAUACAACAUUCUUGAGCCAUGUUACCAUGGAACAUCCCUAUCCGCAUUUGACAUCAAAUCGCUGCCUUCAACUCUUCUGCAGUUAGGCAAAACCGAAAAACCUUUGGCUGUAAGAAAAAGAAUGUUUGGUCGGGCGUGGCCUGUUCGUGCGCCUAUUCUUCCAGGCAUUGUUCCUAGCUGGUCUCAACUCCUUGCUGACGUUUCUGUUCCUUGCAUCGUAAGUAAACAAGAAAAAAAAUAGUGGCUCUCUCUCUCUCUCUCUACUUCAUAGUAAAAGAUGAAACAGUCUACGUUUUAUAUUUGCAGGAUGAUAGAGUUGCAACAGCUUGGCUAAACGAUCCAGCGAUUAGGAAAGCUAUUCAUGCUAAAGAGGUCUCAAACUCUGUUUUGAUCUUAUUGCUAUAUUAUAUUAAGAAAAUAUUACUGAUGUGCUUGAAAAUAUUACAGGAGAGCGAGAUAGGAAGAUGGGUACUCUGCACUGGUAAGCUAUCGUUCCAUCACGAUGCAGGAAGUAUGAUCAGCUUCCAUAGAAACCUCACUCUAAGUGGAUAUAGAGCUCUCAUUUACAGGUACUUCAAACAAAACUUAUAACAAUGAUUCUGACGCCUGUAGUUUCGAAAAUAAUGAAUCAAGUUUUGAUUUGAAGCGGUGAUCACGAUAUGUGUGUUCCAUUUACUGGCUCUGAAGCUUGGACACAUUCUCUUGGAUACAAGGUGAUUGAUGAAUGGAGGGCAUGGAUAUCAAAUGACCAAGUCGCAGGGUAAACUUUUCUUUGUGUAGUAAUAUUUUCUGGAGCUCAAAAUGUUUUCUACAAUUGUUGCAUAUUUUUUUGUGCAGGUAUACCGAAGGAUAUGCAAACAAUCUAACAUUUUUAACCAUAAAGGCACUGAAUCACAAUUCUCUACUGAAAUUGGAAAAAUGGUUGCCAAGUCUAUAUUCGUAUGAUGUUAUUAUCUUUGUGUUGGUAAUUUCAGGGUGCAGGACAUACAGUUCCUGAGUACAAACCGCGGGAGGCUUUGGAUUUCUAUAGCCGAUUUCUAGCAGGAAGCAAGAUUUAAGAGAGAUCUCUAUUGAAAAAUAAGUACAGAGCAUCAUAUCGUGUAUUGACUCGUUUAAAUAAAAAAAAGGAGCAUGUGCCAUUUAGCUUGUGAAUGGUUGAUUCUUCAUUCUUCAUGAUAAAACACCAUGCAUACCUCUUCUUCCAGUAAAAUGCUUGCCGUUUCUUACUUCAACAGAUGGGCUCUUUGCCUUUCAGAAAAAGUCUACAUAUUUACAAGAAUGCUCCUGAUAAGUUUUUGCCUAGAAUAUAUAUAUGUUGUGCCAUUGUUUACACAAAAACACACACACACGGAAACUCAGAAUAGGUUUUUAGCUUAAGGUUUUGGUGAGAAGCUCUAAGAACUCUUUCAGAGUAUUGUAUUGGAACUCGAGUUUUUCUAUCUCUAUCCAAUUAUGAAAUUCAUUCAGUUUAUCUCAAUGUCUUGUUUGAUUAUGUCUAAGUAAAUACCUUUUUAGACUUUUGGUUUAUAUAGUUAUGAGGAAUUAUUGAUAUUAGAACUGCUAAGGUGAUAAAUUGACAUCAUUCACAGAGUUAGGACUUAUUGCUUGCAUUCUAGAGUAGCUAACUAGGAUCAUGAUUCAGGAGUUGACAACUAUGAGAGUAGGCUCAUACCUGAUAGUAAUUCUGUUGAGCUAAGUUAUUAGGCGCAUGCGAGCCGCUGCUUUGGAAGCUGAGAACGCUGCAGCUAAUGUAGCAAACGCUGAGGCUGCUCGACCUAGAACGUUGGCUGACUACACUGCUACGAAAAACACUAUCGGAUUUCAAAGUAGCACGAUUUAAUUCAAAAAUCACACCCAAUUGAGCCCGUCUAGCAUAUAUUUUCACAGGUGCGGGAUCACUAUAACUCACUCCAUUGAGUUCACCACCAUAAAACUCGACAGUUACACCUACUUGUUCGACACUAUAUUUAGAUUCCGCCCUUCUAAACGGGACGUCUGCUCUAACAAUUCUGUCUCCGUCUACCAAAACAACCGAAAAUGUUUCAAAAGAAGUAGGCAUACGGCGUACAAAAAGUUCACGCCCUUCUUUAUUUCUAAAGACGAGGUGUUCUAACCAUCCAACAGCUAUUCUAUCCCCAUUGUCCAUUGAACCUGCUCGGAAUAAUCCCCCUUUUGCUGGAUUAUUACCAAUAUAAUCAUAAAAAGCUAAUUUUUCACGAACCAAGCUUCUGAUACACUUUGAUUUUCAGCUAGUCCAACACUAACUCUUCGAUAUAUUUCUUGUUGAAAGUAUCCCUGAUCCCAUUGAUAACGAGUAGGACCAAAUAAUUCGAUGGGAGUAGUUGCAGAACCAUACCACAUAGUUCCAGCAACAAUAAAAGCUGCAAAAAAGACAGCAGCAAUACUACUGGAAAUGACAGUUUCAAUAUUUUCCAUACGUAAUCCUUUGUAUAGACGUUGAGGUGGACGAACACUAAGAUGGAAUAAGCCCGCUAAUAUACCCAACGUCCAUGCUGCAAUAUGAUGAGAGGCUAUUCCUCCCGGAACAAAAGGGUCAAAACCCUCCACACCCCACGCCGGAUUUACAGGUUGGACCUUUCCGGUUAGUUCAUAAGGGUCGGAUACCCAUAUUCCAGGACCAUAUAAUCCUGUUACAUGAAAUGCGCCAAAACCAAAGCAAGCCACUCCUGAAAGAAAUAAAUGAAUUCCAAAAAUCUUGGUCAAAUCCAAAGAAGGUUUUCCUGUACGUUCAUAACAAAAAAAUUCUAGAUCCCAAUAUACCCAAUGCCAAAUAGCUGCCAAGAAGCACAAGCCAGAAAACACUAUAUGUGCUCCGGCUACCCCUUCGUAACUCCAAAGACCCGGAUUCGUUAUAGUCUCUCCUGUAAUAUUCCAACCUGCCCAUGAAUUGCUUAUUCCUAAAUGAGUCAUGAAAGGUAUAACGAACAUACCUUGUCUCCACAUUGGAUCAAGAACAGGGUCGGAGAGAUCAAAAACAGCUAAUUCAUAUAGAUCCAUGGAACCGGCCCAACCAGCAACCAGAGCAGUAUGCAUUAUAUGAACCGAAAGCAAACGACCGGGAUCAUUCAAUACAACAGUAUGAACACGAUACCAAGGCAAACCCAUGGAUAUACCCCUUUAUCAAUGAAAAAUAGACACAAUGUAACUUUGUUGCAUUGGAAAAAACUAUGUUACGGACCCCCCCUUUUUAGGUAAUUAUUUUGGAGAAAUGAUUAAUAUUUGUUCUAUUCUGUUAGUAAUAAUGGAACAAUUCGAUUCAUAGGAAAAAAGGGAAGCGGAUCUAUUCUAUAUCCGAUAAGUACCAAUACGCAAUGGGGGUGAAUCCUAUUUUAUAUGAACCAAGAUAGCUAUUGUUGUUCAUCAUUCAGAAGCCCGUUCCUAAAAAGUUUCCUUUAAUUUUUAUUCAUUCUCUCUUACUUUACUUUUAUUUUAUAUUUUAUUUUAGCUUAUUCAACUUCUGUAUUAAAUAUGAUUAAUAUAAAUAUGAUUAAUAUUAAUAAAGUAGGAAAAAAGGAUAAUAUGAUUAAAAAAAAGGAAACCCCAAUCUUACGUUUCCACAUCAAAGUGAAAUAGAGAACAUCAUUCUCUUUUUUUUUUUCAUUUCAUGCCCAUUGGCGUUCCAAAAGUACCUUUUCGAAGUUCUGGAGAAGGAGAUACAUCUUGGGUUGACAUAUAGUGCGACUUGUCAGAUAUAUUGGGCUAUAUGGGAUUUCCCCAUUUUCUCCCUCGAUCGAGAUAUCCUCUGUUUCGCUCAAAAAGAUUGAUUGAAUUAUCCAAAAUUUGUAACGCGAAGCGCAAAAAAUUAAUUAUAAUUAAAUGCAAGGAGUAUUUAGAUUGAUAUUAGAUUAUCAAAUUUUUUUUAUGGUUUACGUGAUCGGACUAAUAAAAUUAAGUAUCCAGGCUCCGUUUAGCAAAAAUCCAAUUGAUAAUUAAUAUAUAAUAUUUUUAUAAUUACUACUUAAUAUGAUAUGAAUAUGAUAUCAAAUUAUGAUAAAAAUUCUAUUAAAAAAUACAAAAAAUACAAAAAAUUGAAACAUGGUGAUCUAAAACUGUUGAUCAAAUAAAAUAAUAUAAUUAAAAAUUUGUUGACUAUUUGACAGAAGACAUGUGAAAGAAAUGAAUUGAAAAAAAGAAGGAGUAGUAAAAAAACACGGCAUUUGGUUCAUUUGUCCUAUAUGUGCAAAUCAAAAUUGGGCAAAUUUUUCCUUUUACUCGGAGUAGAGCAUAAACCUAAAAAAACGGAAUAAAAAAAGGAAGAAGCCCAUUUAGGAACAAGAAAAAACCAUCCCCAUUUCAACUGAAUCUCGAUGAAAAAAAAUAUCAAUGAAUCAAGUUAGUCUGACAGGCCUAAUCAAUCGUUUUAUUAUUUUAUUAUUAGGAUUAUAAUAUCUAAUAAAUAAAAGGGGCCAAAACUUAUUUAUUUUUUCUUUUACUUUUAAAAGGGAAGCAAGCCCUUCCCUUAUUAAGUUAGAAAGAAAAGCCUUCUCUGAAAAAAGGGGGGUUGGAAUCGACACAUUGAUUUUUUAACAAUUUUUGUUGAACCGUAUGCAUCAAAAGGUGUCUGUACGGCUCCUAAGGAAUAAAAUUUUAUCCUAAUCAACCGACUUUAUCGAGAAAUAUUGUUUUUUUAGGCCAAGAGGUUGAUACCAAAAUCUCGAAUCAACUUAUUAGUCUUAUGAUAUAUCUCAGUAUAGAAAAGGAUACCAAAGAUCUUUAUUUGUUUAUAAACUCUCCUGGUGGAUCGGUAAUAUCUGGAAUGGCUAUUUAUGAUACUAUGCAAUUUGUGCGACCCGAUGUACAGACAAUAUGCAUGGGAUUGGCCGCUUCAAUAGCAUCCUUUAUCCUAGUCGGAGGAGAAAUUACCAAACGUAUAGCAUUCCCUCACGCUUGGCGCCAAUGAGUUUUUUUUUUUAUUUUAGAGAAAAAAUACUAUACAUUCGCCCUCGGAAAUAUGAAUUAGUUAAGUAAUAAUAGCAUGGCACUUCAAAUUCAAUAUGAAAUUUUUUAGAUUAAAAAAAAUAGAUUAUAUAUUGAAAGAGUAGUAUGGGAUAAGAAAGAGGUAUUUAAAAUGAUAUCUUCCCUAUCCGGGCACAUCUCAGCGUCACAAACUUUGUUUUCACACCGAAAGCUUAUUUACAAAAAAAAAAGACACUUUGGGAUUGCUGAAUCAAAGACGUAUAAAACAAUGAUAUAUAAAGCAACGAAACCAUCAUAGUAUUUUUUUAACUCCUACAAAAUAAAAAAGAAGGAUGGUAAUUGGAUCAUUUAUGGAUCUGCGUAUAAUAGAACAUAUAUUUUGUUUUCUUUCGCCGAAAGGAAAGGUCAAAAACGUAAAUUCCAUUCUAGAGCCGUAUGCAACGCACAAAAAAAGCCUGUACGGUUAUUCAAUUUUCUCUGUUUUUUUGGUUAUCUCGCCUCAUUCUGCAAAAUAGAAAAAGCUUUUCUAUUAUAUCAUCAGGGUAAUGAUUCAUCAACCCGCUAGUUCGUUUUAUGAGGCACAAACGGGAGAAGUUAUCUUGGAAGCGGAAGAACUACUAAAACUUCGCGAAACCAUCACAAGGGUUUAUGUACAAAGAACGAGCAAACCUAUAUGGGUUGUAUCCGAAGAUAUGGAAAGGGAUGUUUUUAUGUCAGAAACAGAAGCCCAAGCUCAUGGAAUUGUUGAUCUUGUAGCGGUUCAAUAAAAAUAGGAGCGAUUUCAUGCAAAUCUACCAUUGCUAAUUUUAUAUAUUUUUAGAUUAAAGGUUUAGUUUCAUAUUCUCUUCAAUAUAUUUUUUUUAUAUUGAAGAGAAUCUUGAAGAGAAGCAAUUCAGAAUUAGCCGGUUAGAACCCAUCUGAACCAGCCCAUUAUUUAUAUGAUUCCGUAUGCCAACCAUUAAACAACUUAUUAGAAAUACAAGACAUCCAAUCCAAAAUUUCACAAAAUCCCCGGCGCUUCGGGAAUGCCCUCAGCGACGAGUAACAUGUACUCAGGUGUAUGUGCGACUCGUUUAGAUCAUAGACUGAAACACAAAAAGGAAAUUCUUUUUUAAAUAUCAAGGAUCAGUACCUGUUAAUAAAAUAGAAUGGAGGAACUCGAUUCAUUAUUUCAAAAAGAUAGAUCAUUCAUAUCUUCGAUUGUGUCUGAAACUUAUGGUUUACAUUGGUGCAAAUUCAAUCAACUCCAUUUUUUAGAAAACACCCAAUGAUAACAAAUGGUUAUCAAUUAAGCGGGGGAAAUCCCAUUUUUUAUUAAAAAGGUUCCACUCUUGAAAGAAAAAAACGGACUAACAGGGUAAAUGAUCAAAUCAAUUUUAAAAUAAAAUACCGUUACUGUAUAAAGUGGAUCUAAUUGUGAAAGACCUAUUACUGGAAUAUUAAUGGGGUAGAGCCAAAGAAUGUGAAUUGUACAAGCUACCAAUAGUAUUGAUUAAAAGAAGGAGCUCCGGUGUAUAGAGAGGACCUCACCGUUGUAGAAGUAACCAUAGAAACGAAUGAACCCACUAUUUAUCCAUUUCUAUUUGCUACUUUUUGUAGUUAUUAUAUUUUUUUUUAUAUCAAGUACCAAGAAAAUUUAUCAUUUCAAAGCAAAGGAAAAUACCUAGACAAAAAUAGUGGUGGGGAAGGUUAGAGUAGCAAAAGCCAUUGGAAUUUUUUUUUAUACAUUGGAAUAAUUCGUUUGGUUAUUAAUGACUAGUAAAGGGGGAAAUAAUAACUAAAAAAAGAAUUAGUUAUUCAUCAAAUUUUGAUUUAUUCAAUGACUAGAAUUAAACGCGGAUAUAUAGCUCGGAGGCAUAGAACAAAACUUCGUUUAUUUGCAUCAACCUUUCAAGAGGCUCAUUCCCGACUUACACGAACUAUGACUCAACAGAGAAUAAGAGCUUUAGUUUUGGCUAGUCGGGAUAGGGGUAAAAGAAAAAGAGAUUUUCGUCGUUUAUGGAUCACUCGAAUAAAUGCUGUAAUUCACGAAAUGGAGGUAUUCUAUAGUUAUAACUGAUUCAUACACAAUCUGUACAAGAAGCAAUUACUUCUUAAUCGAAAAAUACUUGCACAAAUAGCUCUAUUAAAUAGGAGUUGUCUUUAUACGAUUUCAAAUGAGAUAACAAAAUGAGGGGAUUGGAAGAAAUCCACUAAAAUAUUUGAAAUAGAGUUCUUAAGGAGAAUAAGCUCGGGGAGGGUAGAGUAGAAAUUAGUAUUAUAAAAAAAUCGUCAAAACAAAACGAGGGGUAUAUAGUCGCUAAAAAAUGACUUAUUCUUUUUCUUUUCGACUAUUCUUUUUUUUUUAUGACAGACACAGACGUAACAAUCAAAUUUUGAUUCUUGAUUGGAUUUGUCGAACAAAAUAUUAACCGUUUUUUUAAUUCCUUCAGAUUAGUUAUUCAAUUGAAGAAUAAGUCUAUUUUUUCUGGUUCUAAGGCUAGUAGUUCUAGGGGUCGACUCACUUUUCAAAUUGUUUCUGAUUAUUAAGAAAAGGUAACAAAGAUAAAAUACGAGCUUGUUUUAUAGCAAUAGUAAUUAAUCAUUGUUGUUUUAAAGUUACUCUAUUCACCCGUCUAGAUAAUAUUUUUCCUUGUUCACUAAUAAAUCAACUAAUUAAACUCAUGUUUCUAUAAUCAAUUCGAUCCCCCGAUUGGAUCGGGGGCAAACGCCGACGAAAAGAUCGCUUGGAUUUAGUAAAAGGUCGCUUAGAUUUAUUCAUAAUUUUUUAUUCCUUACCUAUAAAAUACUAUUUUGAUCGGAUCAAAAUAAAAAAGAUUUCUAUUUCUAUAUAGGAUAGAGUUUCUAUAUAGAAUUAAGAAUAUAAGAUUUGAUUUAUUUCUAUUAUUUUAUUUGUUUAUAUUCAAAAUAAAAAAGAUUUCUAUUUCUAUAUAGGAUAGAGUUUCUAUAUAGAAUUAAGAAUAUAAGAUUUGAUUUAUUUCUAUUAUUUUAUUUGUUUAUAUUUAUAUAUAUGUAAUAAUACAUAGAUACUCUCAUUAUUCCUGUUCUUAAAAUAAAAUUUGACAUACAAGCACUCAAUUUUAUCUAUUUCUUGAAUUCCCCAUGAAUUGUAUGUUUAUAACAAUAGGGACAGAAUUUUCUUAGUUCCAAUAGACUAGGAGUGUUAUGCCGAUUUUUUUGAGUAAUAUAUCUCGAAAUUCCAGCUGAUUCUUUCUUAAUAUCAUCUCGAACACAACUGGUACAUUCCAACAUAAUUGUUACUCGAACAUCUUUACCUUUGGCCGUGAUUCACCUCCAAUUUAUGAUUCACCCCCAAUUUUCUAUUUUAAUUUUAGGGUCCAUAAAGAACAAGAACCAAAAAAAUAGAAGCUGUUAAUUAAAAAAAAAUGUCUUAAAUAUUUCGUUGCAAUGAAUAUUAAUUAGUAAUUAAAUAAAACGAAAAUAAUAAGUAAUAUAUUUAUUUUUUGAAAACUAUAUCUCAAAUCUUUGUACAAUAUUUUUAUUUAAGUAUCUCGUAGGAUACUAUUUCCCUAGCAACACCUUUUUUUUUAAUUGGAUCCUGAACCCUCGUUUUUAUGACCUUUCGGCCCCCCCCCCUUUUUUCUAUUUAUGUAAAUUUGAAAUUGAUAGGAUUUGCCUAAAAAAAGUAAUUUUUUUAAUUAUACUUAUAUAUAUGUUUGUUAUCUGAUAUGAAACAAAAAAAAAAGAAGGAUGUGGAAAACAAGAUAGGAAUUGUUUACAAUGACACUGUAAACCAAUCGAAAGGGAUGUAGCGCAGCUUGGUAGCGCGUUUGUUUUGGGUACAAAAUGUCACGGGUUCAAAUCAUGUCAUCCCUACCUAUUACUGCUCUUCUAAGCAGUAACGAGGAAUCUAUUUUAGAUUUAUCUUUUUUUUUUAAAUAAAAUUGGACAUACAUAUAACUCUGAAAUUUAUGAUAUACUAUGAUAUAGUAUAUAGUAUAUACGUACAAAAUUGUUUCGAGUUAAAGAAUGUCCUCUUUCUAGCAUUUUCGUUUUUUUUAAUAAAAAACAAGAAAAGCGCUCUUAGUUCAGUUCGGUAGAACGUGGGUCUCCAAAACCCAAUGUCGUAGGUUCAAAUCCUACAGAGCGUGAUGUCACUCUUGUUUAUUAGAUUGUUUUCUUCCUGCUCCUAGAGAUCAGUUUUGGAUAUUGGAUUGGUUCUAUGUUCAGUUUUGUUUUAACAAUCGUCAGUGUUUUUUUCUCAACUAUUUUACAUUCUGUCUUUUAUAAACUUUGCACGUUGCAGCAUAUUCAAUUAUUUUAUCAUUUUUGUGAUUUCUCUUCUUUUUUGUCAUCUUGUGAUUUCUUUUGAAAGGGCUACUGAAUAGCAAGAAUAUCUUUCUUGGUUUAUUUACCAAAUCAACAUGUUUUAAAUUAUAUAUAGGUCGAAUAACAGAUUCCUUUAUAUAAAAAGUAUAAUAUCUUCAGAACACAAAAUUCAAAAUUGAUCUAUGAAAACGUCCAAAGUAAAAGACAUUUGAAGAGUUGGACGGCAAUGUAUUUUCCAUAUUAUAGUUUUUUUGGAAGAUGGAUGUGUGUUUAUAAAGCAAGUAGAUAUCAAUUUGCCGGUGGAACUGAAGAUCGAUUUUUUUUAGUUUGAUUUAAGUACAUAGGUUCGAGUGUAUAUAUAUAUGUAAUUCCACAUUUAGUAAUGCUUUGCAAUACAUGAAUUUCUUUAUGUAUAUUUAAGCACAAUGAUCAUGGGAACUAACACUGUAAACUGUUGCAAGAGAAACAUAACAGCUACACAAACCUUGCAAUAAAAAAUGAAUUUGAUAAAAAUGUUACUAAUCACAUUGCCCGUCUAAAAAAGAAGAAGAUAGUUUUAAUAAAAUGUCAGUAAAAUCUUCUCGUUCUAUGCUUAUUGGUACUGAUUCUAGCAUUCUUAUUAAAAUUAAGAGUUAUUAUUGGUUUGAUAAUGUCUAAUAACAUAUACAAUCCAUUGUUAUUCAAAAAAUUUAAUUUUUAAUGAUUCUAUAAUUCUAUCAAAUUCUAAUGUUAUUGAAUUGGAAUUCUUAACCAUUUAACUUACAAAACAAAAUUUUCAAAAUAAUGCAUACAUAUUCAAGAUUUUUAAAAUCAUUAUAAUAAAAUAGUUUCAUUGACUUUUUAAUAUAGAGCCAUUUUAAUACUCUUUACAAAUUUAACAAAUCUGUUGAUUUUAAGACACUCUAACUAAAUUCAAUUCACACUAUGUCUCCAAAUUAUAAUAGAACUCAAGUAUCAUCUACAAAUAUUGCAAUGUAAUACAUGGAGAAUUAACAUCCGACAAUCAAUUUUACUACAAACCAUACUACUUUAACAUAACAAAGUAAUCAUUUUUUAUUCCCAUACGCAGUACGGGGUAGUAUACUAGUAUUGAAUAAUUGAGAAGCCAUUAACUAUUAUGUAUAUAAUUAGGCGCAAGCGCAUAAAUAAAAACAAUAACUUUUGUUUUUACAAUCAUUUUAUGGUAAGUAAAUCUAAACAAUUAUUUUUAUUUAUUUUGUAUGGUAUAAAAUUAAAUUUAAAUAAUGUUAAGGACAUCAAAAUGCUAUUCUAUUACUCAACCUUGAGAUGGUUUGGGAAUCCAGACCAAAAUAGAAAAACCAACAAAAACUAUAUUCCUAUGAAAAGCUCGAGCAGUCUUGGCUAACGUGUCUGCUAUCCGGUUGUGUGCUCUCGGUAUGUGCAUGAUCUUAAAGUCCUGGAAUUUUCCAUGAAUUAGUGAUAGCUCUCCUAGUUUUGUUGAGAAGCUUGGCCGAGAUGACGGAUCCCGAAUCAUUGAAAUGAUAUCCUGGAAGUCUGUUCCGAAUUUCUGGCAUGUUGUGUGGUGAAGCAUAUUCUCUAUGGACCAAAUAAGAGCAUCUAAUUCUGAAUGCAAAUGUGAUAAUCGUCUCCCUUUUUUUUCGCAACCCUAGGAGUUGUUGUUUUCCAAAUCGUUUAGCAAUACCCAACCAUACCCACUAUAUUGUGAUUCCGAAGACCAUGAUCCAUCUACCAAACAAAUACUCUGGAUAUGACUUGUGCAUUUUUGUGUAUGCUAUGGUGGUUAUGCAUUUUCUGAAGUUCUUUAGUUAGCAUCAAACUUAUGCUAGCCCGAAUUACCCUAGAGCUAAUCGUCUCUCUCAAAUAAGAGAUCGGAUUGUAGUAUUUAGGGAUCAAAUCCACAGGGAGUGUGGACACACAAUAGACUAUGAGAAAUCAGAGUUUAGGUAGGUAAUAAAUAUAAAAGCAGUAAAUUAAUAAAGCAAUAAAUAUAUGUUGUAAGUAAUAUGGGAUAAGCUCUAGACUUAGGGUUUCAGGUAAUCAAAACUAUGAGUUAUAGAUGCUAAGGAUGUGUGAUUUACCAUCCUAGAACUCGAAUGCAAUAGUAAGAUAUCCAACUCUCUCUGUGAGUCUAAUCAGAUGUCUAAAUCCUAUAUUCCAACUCCUGCAUGCGAAUAAGGAACGAGUGUCAAUCGAUACUACAGAUUUUUGAUCGAUACUACAGAGUGUCAAUCGAUACUUAUUUUGACAAGCAUUAACGCUCAAAUCGAUAUGUUCAUUAAAGUAAUUAAACUAGCUCUCGCAUGCGCCUAACAACCUAGCUCAGCAUAAUUAUAUUCAAGUAAUGAACUCACUUUCCUGGUUGUUAAUUAUCCUAAAUCCAAGGUUCUAGUUAGCUAAUCUAGAACACAAGCAGUUAGAUCAAUUAUGUGAAUGAUCAAAUUAAAUCACCCUAGCAGUUCUAUGUUUCAAUAAUUCAUCAAAACUCUAAUAAACCAUAAAUCUAACAUGAUGAUUACUCAUACAUAAUUAAGCAAGACAUAAAAAAUAACUAAAUGAAUUUCAUAAAUAGAUAGAGUAAUAGAUACUGGAGCUCCAAUACAAAGCUCUGAAAGAGUCUUGAUCUUCUCUCCAAACUAAACACUUCUAAAUAAAUAUGUCUUCUAAAGCGUGUCUGCCUAAACAAUGGCUUAGAAACUAUAUAUACUAGGGGCAUUGCCCCUGUGCAAGCGCGGGGUUGUGGACAGAGUUUUUUUUUCAUCUCAAUAUUUGAUAGGGUUAUUGUAGUUGUGAAUUUUGCGGUUUGGGUUGAUCAUUGUUUUUCAAGUUUUUUAUUGUUAUAGGGUUAGAGUUGUGAUGCUGAACUGUGUAGGUAUUGUUCUCCACUUAUGAAGGACUAAACUGUAUUAGUAAUGUGAUUGAUAUAGUUCGUGGUGUUGCUUGUUGUGUCACUGAGACUUAUUUUUUGUUUGUCUUUUUAAUUUGUUUCUUGUAUUGUUGAGAGUACAUAAAUUAUAUUAAGGUUGUUGAGAGUAUCUUUUGUUUCUGAAUAUUUUUUUUGCAGCUUAGUUGUGUAAGUUGUGUGUAUUAAGUAAUAAUUUUUAUUAUCCUUAUUAUGUUUGUUAUAUGUUUUAUUUUUAUUUUUUAACUUGUUGCUUUUACCAGACAUUUAAAACAAAUACAUGAAGACUUGUAGAAAUAACUAUAAAAUGAGUGACAAUUCUGAGUAUUUGGGCCUUAAUGGGUUUUAAACGAAUUUAUGUAUUUCUCAUAAGAAGACAAUAGCAUUGGCCUGUUGACAUUGAACAUGUAAGAUAUUUUCAUAAGACAAGAGUAGUGAGCAGGUGGAGAUGUUGUUGCCGCCUUUGUGUCUGUUGGGAUUGUCUCUUGUAUCUCUUGGUGUGCAUGUGUUUGUUUCUCUUUUAUUUGAUGAGUAACAUGUAAACAAAAAUCGUUGUUAGUUGUAUUUAUCAGAGUUCAUAACUUGCUAUGCUUUUUUUGUUUAGGUGAUUUCACUGAUCUUGGUUGUCGUCUUCGUCUUCUUCGUAAGCAUCUGCGAAAGUAAGUUUGUAGAUUGUUAAAUAGCUGGCUGUGCAGUUUGUAUUUGUUUAGCUGACUCGAUGUAUGUGUCGUUGAGUUUUAGUUGAGGUGAUUGGUUUGGUAUAUUUGUUUUGAAGUUUAUUUAUAAGAUUAGACAAAAAAAGAGAGAUGAUCAUUAAUGAUUCAUAUUUUUGGGGAUUCUAGUUUUUGGUGUUUUGAUUGUUUGGGUUGUUGUGAUUUCUUUUAAGCUGUAAAAUAAAGGUUUGUACGAAAUUAGUUUGAUGAGUAAGGGAGAUAAAUAGACGACCACAGAUCUUGGGUAUAAAAUAUUUUUGAUCAUUGAUGUUAGCCCAAUAUAUACAGUAAUAUGAAGGGAAUUGUGUGUUGGUUGUUUCUUACGGGUCAAUGAGGAGACGGAUAACGACUCGAACUGUUUCUUUGGUGAGGUCAGAGCCCUAGACAGAACGGAUUUGCCCAUCCACAUCUGCGAGUUUAAAUAUCAGUUAUGAUAUCUAACAAUAAUAUAAACUCAGCUGCAAUAUGAUAAUAUACAUGAGAGUUCAAGGUUUAUGUUCGCAAUCACUUGGAAAUUGUCGAACAGCCUAAUCAUGACUGGAGAUUAAUCUCAGGAGCACCCGUGAUGACUUCAUCAAUAAUGGUUGGUGGGAUGAAUGAGGAAUGGAUGAUCAGUUAUCUUGUACAUUCUUGAGCACCUAGCAACCUCAAAACGAUCGACUUUCACAGUAGAACCGACUUUCAGAGAUGGCUUGUAAUGAUUAGCACGUCCGGCGGGAAUGUACCCAUCAAUCACAGAAUCUGUAAACAAUAUUAUUCAACAAAGAAUAAGGAAAUCAAAUAAAAACAAUUAUGUUAGAUAAGUGUGAUAGAUCGAAGAUUAACAUUGAUUCUGCUAGAGUAUCGUUUCCUGAUGAACAUUAAUUCCUCUCUCUUCUCUCUUCUCUGAAUCUUUUCUUUCUUUUAUUUUAUUUUAUUUUUCCUGAUGAACAUUGAUUCUGCUAGAGUAUCGUUUCUGUUCAUCCCUUUUUCUUUUUUUCUGCAAAGUGUAGGCGAAGAACGAGGUCACAUGAAAUUUUCUACCCCUCGCUUUCAGCUUUGUGGGAUCACCCAUUUGAAUUAAAAUAGUGGGGUCAUAGGAAAUUUUCCUACCCUUCUGCAUCUUAGGAAAUCAUCUCAAUCUUUUCUUUUCUUUUCUUAGAUGCCAAAGUGAGGUGAGAUGUAAACCAUAAACACACAGACUUUUACCUUCUAGACUUGCAGGAGGAAUCUGAUCAAGGGAAGAGGGUGGUAUUGGUUUUAGGAUGAUUCAUUAGUUUAAUCUAUCCCUACUGGUGAAACAAUUGUGAAGAUUAAUCCAAUAUCCAGUUUCUCUUCUGGUUCGGAUUUUGCGUGGAAAGUAUUAUCAACUAAGUUUGCCUUUUCAAAUUAGUGUUGUAGAUACCUCUUCAUAUGUAUGGACUUUCUUAUCAGCCAUAAGGAAAUUGCUAAUUUUAUUGAUUAGACAGAAGAUUCAUCCAGGGUUUGAUGUAAAGGCAUGGAGGAUCCUUAGAUUAUAACUACACCUGCAAUGUCAAAUGUUCUUGUUGUCCAUCCUAGAAUGAAAAUUAUCGAUUUCAUUAUAGAUGAUUCAAAGGAAUGUGAUAUUGAAAUAAUGGAGAACUUCAUUGCACAAGAAGAUAUAUUGUGAUUCAGAACUAGGCCAUAAGGCGGUCCUUACAUCGAAACACAUAUUUUUAGAGCUUUACAAAAAGUGUGAUAUACCAUGGAUUUUACCACUUUUAGACCAUGGUAUAUAUAUAGUUUUAGAGUCUAUUAUAUGUGUUUGGAGUCUGUUUUAGAGUAUUUUCAGGUUCAGGUACGUUCUGGAGAACUUUGGUGAUUUUGGAGUUUUUUGAGGUGCAGAACUGCAUAGAUGCGUUAGAUGUUUAACUAUGGAUGGAAACCUUCCCACGGUGAGAUUUAUCUGAUCUUGUGACACAAGGUAUAGCUUUGAGUUAUAUUUCCAAUGUCACUCGUUUGAGGUCAAUCAGCAUGCUAUAGAAUAAGUUAUGCUUUUUUUUGCUGAAGAGUGGUACGUCUACCUCGCGAGAGGAAGCUGUAGAGAAAAUGAAGGAGUGUCGAUCGACGGCCAACCCUUGGUGUUGAUCGACAGUGAUUCCAGAACAAGAGCCGAGUAUAUUUCAAGAUCGACUUAGGCCUAGAAGCCACCACAAAAUUACCAGAAUGACCCUGGACGAUUUGAAACCCUAUUUAUGUGUCUUCUAAGCCAUUGUUGGCGGCUAAGCUUUUUUACGUUUUCCUCUAUUCAUUGUUCUUAGUUUUGGGGUUGGAGAGAAGAGAGAAAAUCCUUCAGAUUCCUCUUGGAACUCCAUUGGUUUUGGUUUAUUAUUGAUUUUUAUUUCAUCUAUUCAUUCUAUGAUUUCUGUGACAACUAUCAUGUCAGAGUAUAUCCACCUACUACGUUUAGGGAUUUUCAAGGGUUUGAAUGAAAUUAUGAAUUAUAGGAUUGCUAGGUUGUUUUUAUAUUCCUACACCAGGGUAAAUUGUAAUAAUAGGAUCUGGAAAAAUUGGAAAAGAACGAGAGUGUGACUGAUUAUUUGAACCUAGAAUCGUAGGACAAUUGGGAGGCACUAGAGUGUAAUCCCGAAUCGUGUUGGAUUUGAUACCUAGGCGCAUACGAGAGUUGGUCUAGGAAUUUAGUCGAACAUUAUCGAUCUGAGCGUUAAUGCUUAUCUGAGGAAGCAUCGAUAGAUACCUAGUCAAUAGUAUCGAUCGACGCUCAUUCUUUGUUCGCAUGCGAGAGCUGGAACAAAGACUUAGUCAUCUGAUUAGUAAUUUCAUGCAAGAGCUGAAUUACUUAUUUAUUGAAGUCGAGUUCUACAAUCAACCCUAAGCAUCUAUAGAUUAUAGUUCUGAUAACUUAAAUGAAACCCUAAGUCUAGCAACCCAUCCUUCCAUCACAACAAACUCCUGAUUUACUGCUUUAUUAUUGACUGCUUAUACAUUAUUUGAUCUAGCAUAGUCUGAAGCUAAAGUCUAUUGUGUGAGAUAUCGAGUCUCUGUGGAUAUGAUCCUUAACUACUGCAACCGAUCUCUUAUUUGAGAGAGUUUCUCUUGAAGGUUAAUUUGAUCAUAUCAGAGUGGUGCACUAUUAAGUUUGGAUAAUGAGAUGACAUACAUAUCGUAAGGUCGAAGAAGAUGUCGUAUAUUCAGAGCCAAGUAUAACGCAGUUCCAAGCCUUCACUUGGAAAAUUAAUGCUCUUCAAAAUAUAUGUCAUUUUAUAUGACAAUAAGUCACAUGACAUGUGGCUAUCAUAAAGAAUUUGACUCCUCGUCAUACGCAAUAUAACAAUAUUUGUCUAGAUAUAGGGAACAUGAUGAGUCUGUAACUCAUGUUGUUUUUGAAUGUCACCAUGUUUACAAGCAUGGGCCUUAACAGCUAGGUCUUCUAAUUCGAAUAUAUUCCUUGUCUCCAGUAUAAUAUGGAUUAUAUUGUUUUCUGAAGAACAAUAUUGAAGAUUCAAAACUGGACAAAGAUCAUUAUUUGUGGAUAAUCUGGUAUCUCAUGAAAGAUAAAAUGAUAAAUUGUUCAGAGAGAUUGACUCACUUGAGCCGAUCAGAUAUGCAUGCAUAAGGAGAAUGUAUUGUUAGGCAUGGUUCACGAAAAAUUCACCAGCAGUUAGUUUGAGUCAACCACUACCAACAUUAAUAUCUCAAGCAUUAUGAUUAGAGAAUAUAUGUUUGAUAGAUGAUUUUUGGACCUCCAAAUCGAUCUUUAGUGGCUGGGUUGGAAAUAUACUUCUCGAUAAACCUAACUUAUGGAUACAUAAAAUCAAAGACGAAGGGAAUCUGAUUUGCACUCAGAUAUAGAAAUAUUUGGUUGGAUAAUGGGAAGCAUGUUACAUCACUUACGUGCCAUCAGACUAAAAGGACCUCAUGUAUGAUCGAUUUUCUCAAAAAAGUUGAAAGAGAUAACAGAGCUGCGAAGAAGAUUUCACGAUACUAUACAUACGUCGGAGAUAGAAUGCGAUUAAUAAUUCUUUAGGUAGAACUGCACUGUUAGUUAUUAUAUUUUGAUUUAUCUACCCAACUCAUUUUUUGACUAAUAAAAUAACUUUUUUGUGGUUGACAAAAAAAAAAAAAUUUGUUGUGAGGAAAAAAAUUACAGAAAAUAAUAAAUAUAAAAUACCACUUCUUAGAAAUUAAAAGUAUAAAACUCAACAACAAACGGUUACAAAGUUUGUCUUUUAUUUUACCCUUCUUUAUUAUUUUACAGAAUUUAAUAAUCGGAGCCUGGAAGUUAAUUCUUUUUUUUUUCCACUGAAAUUUUAUUAAACGGGUCAUGGUCCAAACUGGACCAAGCCCAACAUAACAAACAAAUGCCCAAACUACAGGCCCAAAUAUAACAAACUCCUUGGGCCGUAAGCCCAAAAGUAAGAAACCCGUUGAGGAAGGUAUCCACGCGUCCCACCACGUGGACGAACGCCCGGCGUCCUGAAACACACGUCAAGGAGAGAGCAGACCGCCUUCCACCGGCGAAGAGGGGAGACUCGACGGAACUCCGCCGUCAAGUAGAGCCUUACCAAUGAAGAGCAGCUCACUAAGGAACCAUCUUCAUGGUUGUUCAAGUUGCACACCGGAUCUAUGUUUCCAGAAGAACCAAUCGCCUACAAUCGAUCCCACCAUCGUCGAUCUUCCUGCUAGAAAAAACUGUCACCUUUAAUGAUAGGUCGAAGCUCGAAGAUGAACCGGCUCGCGAGGAGGAGAGGAAGCGAUGACAUCGAGGCUGAGGAAAGAGAGGUGAUUGGGCAGAGAAGAACGGAAAACAUUGAUCAACGGAACCGGGAGAACCCCGGAGUAAAGCCGCCGUCGCCAUCGAGAAGAGCGUGACGCGGAGUCAAAAGCCGGACAGCUCCGUCGAAGAAACCGCAAACCACCGGAGGCAAAAGCCGGCUAUACUCGUCGAACUAACCGAGUAUACCAGAGGCAGAGUCGCCAAAAGAAACCGGCGACAGUCAAAGGAGCUUUAUCUCGAUCUCUUCUUCGUGAAGGAUCCUAGAAAGAGAACGAAGAAGAGAGAGAAGCCCAUUUAGCCUGGAAGUUAAUUUAUUGUUGAAGUUUUUUUAGGAAUCUUUUUUUUUAAACGGUAGUCAAAAGAAGAAUCCUGCAUUCUUGCCACAUGUCACUGUUCCGUAAGCCAGCCGUCACUUGAAGUAACCGCUUGUUAAUUUAUUAUGUAGGCGGUCCCCCCCAAGUCAACUCUGGCUUCUUUGCUUCCACUCAAUCUGCUUACGCAACUCAACAAAUACGCAGGCUCGCAUCAGUAAAUACAUACAUGUGUAUACAUACAUAUCUUUAUAGAGAUGCUCAAAUAUCAGAAUCGUGCCUUUUAAGGAAAUUGUAGCUUGCAGAAUCACAUAUGUACUUAUCCCAUCCUAUGUUUUUUUUUUUGCUUUAAGUUUUACUUAUCCCAUCCUAUGUUUCCACAAAUUCUUCUUUUUUUUUUCCUGAACACCCCACAAAUUCUUCAUAUAAUCGUUUUUCUCCACAUCAUCUCUUUUGUCUCUUUUCCCAUAGAUAUUCACCAAUAAUUCUUGCUAAAUUAUUGUGCACCCGAAUAUUCCCAGUUUUUUCUCUAUCUUCUUGUUCUAUAUAAAGAAAUACCACAAUUCUCAUUAUUACACAGCGGAAAUCUCUUUGUCCUGAGUUUAUGUUGAGAAAUACCACAAUUCUCAUUAUUACACAGCGGAAAUCUCUUUGUCCUGAGUUUAUGUUGUAGAUCAGAAUGAGAUUCUUACUGAAAGUUCUUGCCUUUGUGACACUAGUUUUAGUGUUUCUAAUAACAACAGAAUCAGCUCCUGAAUCUGCUCUUAUCACCAAACUUCCUGGCUUCAGUGGCACUUUUCCUUCAAAACACUACUCCGGGUAAAAAUUGAGUUCUCUGUUUUCUUUCUUUCGAGCUGUAUAUAUUAUAUAGGCCGAAAACUCGAGUAACGUCAUUUGAAACGUGUACAAUGGCCAAAACUGAGUUCUCGUUUAUUAUCAAUUUUGUAGUUUAGAAAACGUUCUAUCUUUUUGCAUUUUUGAGGUUCUAUGUUAUUCUUUGGUUUUGAUGUUAAAGGUACGUCACAAUUGAUAAGGAGCAUGGGAAAAAUCUGUGGUAUUACUUUGUUGAAUCAGAGAUGAAUCCUUCGAAAGAUCCGGUCGUACUCUGGCUCAAUGGUGGUCCAGGUUGCUCAAGCAUGGAUGGAUUUGUAUACGAGCAUGGUCCUUUCAAUUUCGAACCAGCAAAGACAAAUUAUAGUCUCCCACUCCUGCAUCUUAAUCCUUAUAGUUGGUCAAAGGUAAAUUUUCGAAGUUUAUAAAUCGUAUCAAUAUCUACUGUUUCCUUUCCCUAGUUGUAAAUAAUGUUUUCAUGUACGAUUGUUUUCAUUAUCAGGUGUCUAACAUGAUAUACCUUGAUUCACCUGUUGGUGUGGGAUUCUCUUACUCAAAGAACGAAUCUGACUACAUAACCGGUGAUAUGAAAACCGCGGUUGACUCUCACGCGUUCCUUCUCAAGGUAAAUCAAACAAAUAUUUACAUUCAAAGAUUGAACUUAAUUCAAUGAACUCAUAAAUAUACCGUAGUAUAAUUUAUUUUUUAAGAGCUCCUUUUUAAUUAAAUGUUCUGUACUUCUAUUGGAAAAAUAGUUAUAUAUUUUUAAGUUUUUAAAGCUUUUCACAGAAAUUACCAUGAAAACUUUAACAACUAAUGGAAUUUCAAAAAAUAAAAAACAAAUAAAUUUUGAAAAAGAAAAAAAUGAUUUUCAAAUACUCAUUCCAGUAACAAAAGUAACCAAAAGAGUUCUUCAGAAAUUAAAAUUGUUAAGAUAGAAAUGUAUCUCUUUGAAUAACCCACACCCCAAGUAUUUGGGUGUUAUUCAGAUCACUAAAUGCUUCUUCCGGAUGUUACUUACCAGUGGUUCCAGAUGUUUCCCGAGUUUCAGUCAAAUCCGUUUUACAUCUCUGGAGAAUCUUAUGCCGGAGUUUACGUCCCAACUCUGGCUUCAGAAGUUGUCAAAGGUAAUUUACCUUCUCCUUUCAUGUAUAAAUAUAAUCGACCAUACAUCUUCCUGAUCUUUUUCCUCCAUUUUGUUUGGUUAUGUUGCAGGGAACAAAGAAGGGUUAAAGCCGGCUCUUAAUUUAAAGGUAGCAUAGAAAACGAGUUAGGAUUCAGUUUCAUGAAUUCUCGUUUGGUCUCAUACAAGGAUUGGAUGAUCUGUUCUUUUUACGGUACAGGGAUAUUUGGUUGGAAAUGGAGUUGCAGAUUCCAUGUAUGACGGAAACGCUCUUAUCCCGUUUGCACACGGGAUGGGCCUGAUCUCUGAUCAGCUCUUUGAGGUUUUCUCAAUGGAUUCUUACUUGUUCUUCCACUCUUUUUUCUGGUUAAUAAAUCUAACACCUAGGGAGAAAACCCGCAGCACGUUACAAAAGCUUGCAAUGGAAAUUUCUACGACAAUUUUAGCCCUGAUUGCGAGGAACAGAUGGCUAAAGUUUCAAUGGUAAAUAUAAUGUUUUCCAAGAUGUUAAUUUAAAGACAUUAAAAAAAUAGAGAAAUUCUCUAUCUAGGGUUAUUGGUUCUAUGAUUUUCAAACCUGUAUUUAAAUCAUGUGUUAUUGGUUUAAUGAUUUAUAAAUUCUAGAUGUCAAAAAAAAAAAAAAAAAAAUCUAUAUCAAAUCAAGUGUUAUUCAAUCGUACGGAUUUACUAAUAAAUUUGAUUUUAUAAUGGAUUUGAAUGAAUUUGUUUGGAUUUUUUUUGUUAAAAAUACAAAGACAUUUAUAAAUACUAUAUGGAUUUCUAAAUCAAUCAAAAUAUAUAAACCAAAAAUUAAAAAAGUUUUUGUCACAAAUAUAAAUCUUAAAAAUAAAAAUGACCAAAACAGACUUAAUUUUUUUAUCAAAAAAGGUAAAUAUACACUUAUAUACCUAGGGUUAAUUAAUCUAGACAUUAGGAUUUAGAGUUAAGGAGUGGAGUUUAGGGUUUAGGGUUUAAAGUUUAGGGUUUAGGGUUUAGACUUUAGGGUUUAGGGUUUAGAGCUGAGGAAUGAAUUUUGGGGAUAGAAUUUCAAAUUUUAAAAAAUAAAAAAAAUUAAAAUUUUCAAAAUAAAAAAUGUUUUUUUGGUUAUUUUAGUUUUUGAGGUCUAAUUUUAUGAUAAAAACUUAAAAAUGUCUAUCUGAGAGAAUUAACCUUAAGAAUAUUGUGUGAUCAAAGUUUUCAUUUUUUUUCAGGAU